rnacentral:rRNA from 1 species
GACAGAGGGGUGCAAACGUUGUUCGGAAUUACUGGGCGUAAAGCGAGUGUAGGCGGUUUCCUAAGUCAGGUGUGAAAGCCCCGGGCUCAACCCGGGAAGUGCACUUGAAACUGGGAGGCUAGAGUAUCGGAGAGGUUGGUGGAAUUCUCGGUGUAGAGGUGAAAAUUCGUAGAUAUCGAGAGGAACACCGGUGGCGAAGGCGGCCAACUGGACGAAUACUGACGCUGAGACUCGAAAGCGUGGGGAGCAAACAGG